rnacentral:rRNA from 1 species
AAGGAUCAUUAUUGAAAGCUUUUCUAGCUUUUACACCCCACUGUUUACCUCCCAUGUUGCUUUCACUAGACAGGUUCGGCUCGUGAGAGCAGAAUCCCUUGGCUGAUGCAUAUGCAUUGGCUGGGGAGUGCUGGUGAAAUACCUAAAACCUUUUUAAAAACCACUGUCUGAAAACAUUUUAAAACAUUAAAAACUUUCAACAACGGAUCUCUAGGCUCUUGCAUCGAUGAAGAACGCAGUGAAAUGCGAUAAGUAAUGUGAAUUGCAGAAUCUCGUGAAUCAUCGAAUCUUUGAACGCACAUUGCGCCUUAUGGUAAUCCGUAAAGCAUGCCUGUCUGAGCGUUAUAUACCACCACCUCAAGCAUCUUUAGCUUGGAUAGCCUUGGAAAAGCACUUACUAAAUGAGCUGCCUUCCAGAAAUCUAUAGGCGGUACGGUUGUUUCUAGACCGAGACGUAAUAUAAUAAAUAUCGUCUUCUAAAAGCAAUAUACCUGCCUUUAACCCACCUUUUAUCAUAUAUGGGUGACCUCAGAUCAGGUAGGGAUACCCGCUGAACUUAA